rnacentral:rRNA from 1 species
AUUGAACGCUGGCGGCAGGCUUAACACAUGCAAGUCGAGCGAGCGGCGGACGGGUGCGUAAUGUCUGGGAAACUGCCUGAUGGAGGGGGCUAACUACUUUACACGGUAGCUCAUACCGCAUACCAUCAUCUGUGCCCCGAUGUGAUUAGCUAGUAGGUGGGGUAAUGGCUCACCUGGGCGACGAUACCUAGCUGUUCUGAGAGGAUGACCAGCCACACUGGAACUGAGACACGGGCCAGACGCCUACGGGAGGCAGCAGUGGGGAAUAUUGCACAAUGGGCGCAAGCCUGAUGCAGCCAUGCCGCGUGUGUGAAGAAGGCCUUCGGGUUGUAAAGCACUUUCAGCGAGGAGGCGUUACUCGCAGAAGAAGCACCGGCUAACUCCGUGCCAGCCGCCGCGGUAAUAC